UACGGGGGGGGCAAGCGUUGUUCGGAAUUACUGGGCGUAAAGGGCUCGUAGGCGGCCAACUAAGUCAUACGUGAAAUCCCUCGGCUUAACCGGGGAACUGCGUCUGAUACUGGAUGGCUUGAGAUUGGGAGAGGGAUGCGGAGUUCCAGGUGUAGCGGUGAAAUGCGUAGAUAUCUGGAGGAACACCGGUGGCGAAGGCGGCAUCCUGGACCAACACUGACGCUGAGGAGCGAAAGCCAGGGGAGCAAACGGG
rnacentral:rRNA from 1 species